UACGUAGGGGGCAAGCGUUGUCCGGAAUCAUUGGGCGUAAAGCGCGUGUAGGCGGCUAAGUAAGUCGGGCGUGAAAUCCCACGGCUCAACCGUGGAAGUGCACUCGAAACUGCAUAGCUAGAGUCCUGGAGAGGAAGGUGGAAUGCUUGGUGUAGAGGUGAAAUUCGUAGAUAUCAAUCGGAACACCGGUGGCGAAGGCGGCCUUCUGGACAGUGACUGACGCUGAGACGCGAAAGCGUGGGGAGCAAACAGG
rnacentral:rRNA from 1 species